rnacentral:rRNA from 1 species
GGAAGGGGUGUAUUUAUUAGAUUAAAAGCCAAUGCCCUCUGGGCUCCUUGGUGAAUCAUGAUAACUUCACGAAUCGCACGGCCUUGCGCCGGCGAUGGCUCAUUCAAAUUUCUUCCCUAUCAACUUUCGAUGUUUGGGUAGUGGCCAAACAUGGUUGCAACGGGUAACGGAGGGUUAGGGCUCGACCCCGGAGAAGGAGCCUGAGACACGGCUACUACAUCCAAGGAAGGCAGCAGGCGCGCAAAUUACCCAAUCCCGAUUCGGGGAGGUAGUGACAAUAAAUACUGAUACAGGGCUCUUUCGGGUCUUGUAAUCGGAAUGAGUACAAUUUAAAUCCCUUAACGAGGAACAAUUGGAGGGCAAGUCUGGUGCCAGCAGCCGCGGUAAUUCCAGCUCCAAUAGCGUAUAUUAAAGUUGUUGUGGUUAAAAAGCUCGUAGUUGAACCUUGGGCCUGGCUGGCCGGUCCGCCUCACCGCGUGUACUGGUCCGGCCGGGCCUUUCCCUCUGUGGAACCUCAUGCCCUUCACUGGGUGUGCUGGGGAAACAGGACUUUUACUUUGAAAAAAUUAGAGUGCUCCAGGCAGGCCUAUGCUCGAAUACAUUAGCAUGGAAUAAUAAAAUA